GUGGGCUAAUCCCUUUUCCAGAGCACAGCUCAUUUUCAAGUGGCUGUUGCGUUGCUGCUUUCCCCCACCCCUUCAGUGCGACAGCCUCAGAGCUGGUGGAGAGACAGAGAGCACGCAACCGGAUAAAUUCAGACGUGGAAUUCCUGGAUCAAAUGGUACUCGGAGAGUUAAAGAUGUCUGGAUUCAGUGCCUGGAAUUUUCUAGAAUGGUAUCAGAGGAAAAAGUAAGAAAUGUAUGAGGAGCAGAAAUAACAAUGCUCACCAGCCUGUUGCUGGCAGUAGUAUGCUCUAGGGAGUCAAAGGAUGGAGGAUAUUAAGGGAGACUUAUCUGGAAACAGACUUGUGCCUGCGUGUCCAACUAUCCCUCUAAUGCCUACAACUGGCCAAAGAGCACACAUUCAGCCCUGCAGCAUGCAGACUCCUCAGUAGCAUCCAGACACACCCCGAGGCACAGCAGUAGAACCACAGUAGGAGGACUUGCCCCAUAGCACAGGGACACUUUCCAUUUCACUAGACUCUUCCAGAGGCACUCAUGUUAUCAAUACAGAGACCCAACUAAGGGACACUGACCUGCCCACAUGACAGACUUCUGCCACCGUUAAGACUCUACUCACGACACACAGACAAUCCCAACACUAGAGACUGUCUCCACAUCACUAGACCCUUCCCAGGGCACAUAGACUCAACUCAAAGAACACAGAUUCCCCUGCGACAUACAGAGUCCCUUCAUGAUACACAGUUCUCCUGUGCAUGACCCACUGACUGGCCCUCGCAAGGCCAUGCAACUCUACCCCCAGCGUAUGGGCUCUCCCCGCAUCAUGGAAACUCACCCCAGAACCGGACACUGCCCACAGCACACACAAUCACUCCAGAGCCCACAGUCUCUCCACAGAAUGCAGACUUCCCCUCAGAACACAAACUCAUGACACAGUUCCAAGAGCCACCCCAUGACAUGAAAGAUUCCUGUGGCAGAAAGCCUCACCCAUGCACACAUAACACAGACUGCCCCAAAAGGACACAGACUCAUUGUACACUAAGCAGGCACUCCCUCAAUUAUGUGUGCUUCCCCCAGCAACACAGAAUAAACCCAUGUUGCAGGCUUCUCUCACUGUGCAGAUGCUACAGUACACCUCGAUGCACAGCAUUGCGCCACAGCACACAAACGUGUUCUCCAGCGCACCCAUGCAUUCCAUAACAGACGUGCCAACCAUACAGCAUCUGCACUUGCCUGAUAGGCACUCAUCUGCCCCACAACAAGGACCUCCCUCCACACUGAGUUACCACAAGACACACAUUGUGGCCCUGUGCCACCAAAAUGUGGCCUAGUUCCUCAACUACAGUGAGAUACAUGAACAUACAUCACAAUGCACCAUUUGCACCACAGCAUGCAAACUGGACACUCGUGCCACAACGCCUCACCUUUCUCUAAAGCAUUCAGGGCACCAUCACAGGUGUGACCCAUGGUACCGUCACUCUGCUCAGCCCACAGCACAGACGAAAAAACCUACACCACGCAGACACCUCCCCCAACACGAUACCCCACCCCCAUAUACCUGCUGUACAGCUUCAUGUCACAAACCAUAUUUCCUAUAGUAGUUACACAGAAUACAUGGCCCCAAACACAUGAAACCAUUUGCCAGGUGACCCAGAUUUACCACAGAGCACCCAGACUGGUUUCACUGCUCAUACUAAUGCCUACACAAACAAGACAUGUACCACUGUGCUCUGCGGAUCCCCCAUCAAUGUCCGUACUUGCCUCCUGGCUGACGCAGGCACUGCUGAGCACUGGGACCCACCCAAAUGCACACACAAGCCCUUUGAGACCUACUUACCCCAUUCCAUGCUCGGUCACACAUACUACACUCAGACCUGCCUUAAAAUUCCCAGGCAUGCCUGUAAACGCGUUUGCUUCACCAUGCACUGUCACUCCAGAGUGCAAAACCCACAAGGCAGAAGCAUUUCCCACUGCAUACAUACCUGGUACACAUAUCAUGCCUCCUACAACAGGGAUGCGACUUGUGUAAUGGUUAAGAGCAAGGCCUGUGGACCCAGAUCACCUGGGUUUGAAUCCAGAUCCCCAUUCUUGCUAAUUGUGUCACCAUGGAAGCGGGAAGAUUGAGAGAGCAGAGUGGGAGACAGGGGGCUUUGUGCCCAGUGCACACUUGCCACCUAGUGACCAUAUCGAGUGGUGGGGCUUGUGAUUCUCGCCUCAGUCUCGUAGCCUGACCGCGACCCCUGAGUUCCAUGAUCCCUUUGCAACUGCAAGACAUUCUCAUGCAACAUUUGAAUUCAGCUUGUCUACAUCUUUGAGAGCUUGAGAACAAUAUGCAGAUUCAAGUCACUAUCAUGUCAUCUUGCUGUCUCCUGUGACAAGACCAACAUUUAGGGAAGAAGAAUCUGGACCAUCUGUCAUGCCAUUCAGACCCAUUUCACACGCAGCACCGCACACAGGACAUUUGGAUCUUGGGGUCUAGACUCUGAUGACUCUGGCGAUGUGGUGAUCCAUGUGCUGGGGAUGAAACUGGAGCAGAAGACUGAACUUACUUCUCUACAGACCAAUUCCUAUUUUCUUUUCUUUCCCUGUCAGUACUGCCAUGACCAGCAUUUCUUUGGGCAUUAUCAUCCUUACCCUGAGGUCAGAGAGAAAUAGAAAUUCAUUGCCCAGUAACCACUAUCGCUAAUGUUAAAUGUGUAAAAUAUCACUGAGAUUACUUUAGUGUUUUAUUUCGGCGAACAAACCAAUCAUCUUGGCUUCCACAAUAGUCUCUGCUCCCUCCCCUCUCUUUUUUCCCUAAAAGGUCUUAAAUGUCUACAGCAUAGAGAGUGUGAGGAUUUCAGGAAGUCAACCCUAGGGAGGGGGCUGGUAUAUUUGAUUUGACAGUGUGAUUUUUGUAUUCCUGAUCCUGAGUGUUGUUUCAAUUCUGAUUAAGCCUAACUUGCUCUCUUCCCAGAAGGGACUAGUUUGGUCUAAGUUCAUUUGUUUAGUAGUGCUUCCAUAACUUAGCUUUUGGCUGGUCUCGAAAGGCAGUCCUUUUGUGCAGAAUUCCUGGAUUUGCAUUGGCACCUAACAAAGGAGGAAGAACUGGUACACUUCAUUUCUGUGGUUCCUCUCUGUUCUCAAAUCUGGCCUCCCAGUGAUUUGAACAGUAAAAUGUGCCCCCAAAAGGGAAUACUGAUACUUCCUGUGCUGGAGAAUUCAUUUCCAGAUUGAACAUGUUUUAUUCCCUCUGUAAUCUCUUAUGUUUAUGUUAUUCAGCUCAAUUGUUUUUAUAAAAGUCAUUGUUUCAAUUUUGGAUGCUUGGAAUUCUCCAGGCAGAUUUAACAGAGGGGAAAAAUAAGUCAGAAAGCCAGAGAGAUGAAGCUAAUGUGUUUUUCUAAGAAUUCUUAGCAAAGCCAUGAGGAACCCACUUGUUCCCUUGGCUACUUGGACACAUUGUCAUCUGAUGUCCAUUUUGAACUCAGCUGGUCAGUUACUCCAGGGACCAGAGAGACAGGAAGUCUGAAUAGCAUUGUUUCUUCUCUCUUAACUGCUGUCUGGGCCAGCAUCGCUUUAAUGGCGCCACAAUUACAUCUAAUGAUGAAGAGGAAAAAUCCUGAAUAGGAAAAGGAUGAAAGAUAACUCUUCAGCAUGCAGUUGCCAAAAAGGAACUUAUGUAGCUGAAAACCAUAAAGACAACCUGGAAUGAUGAAAUUUAUGUGCAGUAGUCAAAUAAAUGCUGCCCUUGAGCAACAGUAUAAAAAUGGCACCCAGAGUAAAUUCAAUUUGCUCUUAUAGGAAACAUGGAAGGAACCCACUUGAGUUGUGAUUAGCAAUGGAGGAAUCCAGUAAUUUUCUCCCCAGUCUGGAGGUCUGAAUGAUAGGCCCCCAUAACUGAGUUUGAAGUAAUCAGGAGAAAGGGGGAAGAUAAAGGCUGAAAGGGCUUGCCUGCAUGGUUAUUUGAGAUGACAGGUAUUUUUUUUUGGGGGGGGGUGCUGGGGAUGAAACCCAGGGCCUUGUACUUACAAGGCAAGCACUCUACCAACUGAGCUAUCUCCCCAGCCCCCAGACAGGUAUUUUUGAGAGAGAGGUUCAUCAGCCUCAUUGGUUGAUCUUGGGAGUACCUAAGCCCUUUUUUAGAGACUAAGGUAAGUAGCAAUAUUAUUGCACUUUCUUAUUUUAGGAAUUGUGAUUCAAGUGAUUCACAUUUUAGUCCCUUCCAGAAUAGAAAGUUAGGCAUAGGUGCCAAAGAAAACAAAGGCAAACAUAGCAUCAAUUUCUGGGAAAGAAAAAUAGAAAGUACCUCCCAUGAUACUUAGUUGUUUUCUUCUGAGUUAUAGGAUUUAGGUAAAAUAAU